ACCGGUUCUGAAUUGACCAUGGAGUUAUUUUUUAAUACUAGAUGUCGGUUUAAUCUUUAAAAAAAAUGAUAAUAUACGAAAUUUCAUCUAAGGCAAUAUUCACCGUAACAUGCAUAGAAAAUGGAAGGAUAACCGGCCACAGUUUUUUAACAGUAUAUAAUAUUUCUCAAAAGCAGCAGCAGCAAUGGUCAGAAUAAGAAUAUGAUACUUGGAAGCAAAUACACAAUCCCGAAUACACUAACC
rnacentral:lncRNA from 1 species